UCCGGUUUGUCACCGGCAGUCUCCCUAGAGUGCCCUUGCGUAGCAACUAGGGACAAGGGUUGCGCUCGUUGCGGGACUUAACCCAACAUCUCACGGCACGAGCUGACGACAGCCAUGCAGCACCUGUCUCUCGGUUCCCGAAGGCACCCCUCUAUCUCUAAAGGGUUCCGAGGAUGUCAAGGGUAGGUAAGGUUCUUCGCGUUGCGUCGAAUUAAACCACAUGCUCCACCGCUUGUGCGGGCCCCCGUCAAUUCCUUUGAGUUUUAACCUUGCGGCCGUACUCCCCAGGCGGAAGACUUAACGCGUUAGCUUCGCUACUAUGUACCCGUAGGUACCCAACAGCCAGUCUUCAUCGUUUACAGCAUGGACUAC
rnacentral:misc_RNA from 1 species